rnacentral:tRNA from 1 species
GACGCGCUCGGGCUGCGAUGGCGCGACGGCGCGCCGGCUUCGGGCGCGUCGCGCGAUGCGGGCGUCGCGCGCGACGGUUCGCGUGCGUCGGCGGGCGGCC